rnacentral:lncRNA from 1 species
CACAGCCCCCAUAUGGCAAGCAUGCAGCAGAUUAGGGUAGGCCCCCAGGCCGCAUGGAAGGCCAGGGGCUUGACUGGCAGUUGAACCCCCCUCCCUUCCCCCGUUUCUCCUCACACUUGACACUGCCUGUGUUUAUCUAAAGCAAGGAGGGUGGGGGGAGUUGGAAGGUUUUUGUCCCGGCCCUGAGAGAAGGGGAGGAGGCCGGAGCAGUGUGGGGAGAGAGGUAGGAGAGUGGAGGUGGGGCUGUAAGGAGUGGGGCUGGAGGGAAGGCUUCAUAAAUAUUCAGAAGGAGCGCUGAAUGGAGAGAGAGAGAGAUAAAGCAGAUGGAAUUCCUGUUAAAGAACGGCACAAUCACCCUGUUUUGAGCCCUCCAAAAACAAAAAGAGAAAAAGAAAAAGUAAGAGAAAAGAAAAGCGAACAGCCUCCUAGGAGGAUAGGAGUUCUUAUCCAAUUAGCAGGGUUGUCAAAUGGAAUUUAUGUGGAAUAAGGGUGAGGGACCCGAGAUGGGAGUGUGGAAGGAAAAAAGGUGAUUUUCCUUCACUCCUUUAGAGACAGAGACAGAGACAGAGACGGGGAGAGAGGCCGUCUUGGUCCCAAGUGCCCUUGCCUUGAAGAGCAAGUGGCUUAAAGAGAUCGCUGCAAAGGAGUUGUGGUGAAGAGAGAGCUGAUAAUCUGUGCACAUGCAAACAGAGGGAAACCAGCUGAGCUGACCCUUCUCUGGCCGCCCGAGGAGGGGAAAGCGUCGUAAUGGAACCGCAUCUGAUGAGAAGUCAACAAAAUAAUUAGUGUCCAUGCAGACUGAAAGAGAUUACAACAGUGCCCCUACCCCCAAAACCGGCCUGUGUCUUAAGGCAUUAGCUAAUGAUUAUACAUCGGUCAGGAUUAAGGAGUCAUUCAAAUAAGAUCAGACUUUC